UUGCUUUUACAAGGCGAAACCGCGAAUGGCUCAUUAAAUCAGUUAUGGUUCACUAGAUCGUAAAUUUUACACGGAUAACUGUGGUAAUUCUAGAGCUAAUACGUGCAACCAGCUCGCUUCCUUGUGGAGCGAGCGCAGUUAUUAGAACAAGACCAAUCCGGCCUUCGGGUCGGUACAAUUGGUGACUCUGAAUAACCGAAGCGGAGCGCAUGGUCUCGUACCGGCGCCAGAUCUUUCAAGUGUCUGACUUAUCAGCUUGUUGUUAGGUUAUGUUCCUAACAAGGCUUCAACGGGUAACGGGGUAUCAGGGUCCGAUACCGGAGAGGGAGCCUGAGAAACGGCUACCACAUCCAAGGAAGGCAGCAGGCGCGCAAAUUACCCACUCCUAGCACAGGGAGGUAGUGACGAAAAAUAACGAUGCGGGGUCUUAUAGAUUCCCGUAAUCGGAAUGGGUACACUUUAAAUCCUUUAACGAGGAUCUAUUGGAGGGCAAGUCUGGUGCCAGCAGCCGCGGUAAUUCCAGCUCCAAUAGCGUAUAUUAAAGUUGCUGCGGUUAAAAAGCUCGUAGUUGGAUCUGGGCUUCUGAAUGGAUGGUGCGCUUUUC
rnacentral:rRNA from 1 species